AGUCUGCAGCUGGCCUGGGAGGCAGACCCCAGAAAAAACAGGAGCUGGUAGUAGGCGCGGACUCUGGCUAGUCUGGGUUAGCCUGAAGAGAUGACCCACCGGAAUCAGGACACGAAAGGUUCACAUCAGACGUUAAAGAGCAUUUCUGAAUCAUCAGGACCCCGAAGGAGUCCCAGAAACAGCCAGUCUAACAAGCAAACCAGGCAGAGAUUCCUGUAGUAGCCAGUGACACCCUUGAAGUCGGGAUCCUCAAACCUCCAUGUUCCAAGUGCUGCACUUACAGGCGUGUGACAUCUUGCUGAGCUUAAAACCUUGAGGGAGCUGACAAUCCGGAAUGAUGGAGCCUUCUGUGUGACUUUAAGGGUGUGCCCUGGAGACUAUUCAAGCUGUAGCUGAAUGUUGACCUGUGCUGUUGGAGGCAGUUCCAGAAGAUUGGCUCAGCUGACACAGAGUUUGAUGAGAGAUUUCCAAGACAGAAUCAGAGAUCCUUUCAAGUGGUUUAGAGAAAACUUGUUUCUCUGCACUCAAGAAAUGCUUACCAUCUCUUAAAGACAAGCUGACUGGAAGCUGAGCGGGGUCUCACCUGGACAAAAGCCUUCUUGGACAGACUAACUUUGCAGAGGUUGCACAUAGAGCAGUAACCUCCUUCCCAGAGACUAGAAGGAAGACGAGCUACUGUUGCUUCUGCUGCUGGCCAUCUUUGGGUUGCCUACGAUAUCAUUCCGUAUGUUCUACUUGUUGAUGAAUAGCAAACUUGUGAUAACACGGAGAGGGGAGCAGAAGAAAUGGCUUAAUUGCACGGCUCUCUGUCCUUUGUGGAAUGCACAUCACUGAGUGAAGAGAACAAUUCCUGGGAGAGAGUGUGUUGCACUUUCGUUUCCAGCACCAGUUCUGUGCACGGAGCAAGUAACCCCAAGCACACCUAUCAGGAAACUGGAAAGCCACUCAGUCCUUCAGGUGUUUCUCAAGACCUACUAGACAUGGCAUUGGACUAUGUAUGCGGAUGGUGGCAGAAUCUUUGCUGAUGGUGCCAUCACACCCAACAGCAGGAGAAAGGAGCUAGCCGAUGCCUCUGUGCUGUGAAAGGCUCUGCCUUAUUCUUGUCUCCAGUAGCCCAGCAUGAUGCUGAGCUUCUGUUGGGAGCCAGACUAUGCCAUGAAUGAUGGAGUUUCAGGCUUUGCUAUGCCUGGAACAUGUUGCUCAGUGGGAGGCAGGCGUCUUGUUUUCUUUUACUCCCAUUUGGCCAGAGCAUCUCAUUAUGUAAGACCGCCACUGUUUAUCUGCACCGUAUUUUUACAAGGGUUGUUCUAAGGUUUGGCAGAUAGGAGGGAAUAUUUCAUGAAGCAGGGUUCGUAAUGAACAAGGCCUUAAAUGAAGUUUCUGUAGGACCUAAAAGGUGUUCAUUCUGAGAAUAUUUAAUGCUUGCUUUCUCUCUCUCUCUCUCUCUCUCUCUCUCUCCCUCCCUCUCUCUCUCUCUCUCUCUCUCUUUCUUUCUUUCUUUCUUUCUUUCUUUCUUUCUUUCUUUCUUUCUUUCUUUCUUUCUUGUUCACAUCCAUUGGAUUUAGAUGAGAGGCCAAUGGUGAGCCAGGAACUAUUACUACAUCUUAUACUACAUCUUAAUUUAUGUUUUAAAGAAACCAAAAUGUAUCAUGCUGUUGCUAGAGAAUAUUUACCUUUAUCUCAUCUUGGCAAAUACUUCUAAAACCUUGUCUGUCAUGGAGCAGAGCCUUGUCUUUGGAAAGUCCUGUCUCUCCAUGAGCCAACCUAAAACAUACAGCGCCACUUUAAACGGCUUGUGGCUGACACUGAGUUGCCUAUGAAUGGGUUAUUUCAUGAAGGUGUAGUUGGGAAGAUGGAAUGACGUGCCAAGUGUGCUAAAAAAUUAGUUCUUUGUUCAAAUAUUAUUUUAUUGUUAGCUCUUAGAGCAUUGUAAUCUAACAGUUACUACAUAAAUCUGGGAACUAAUAAAAUGGCUUCAACGC
rnacentral:lncRNA from 1 species